AACGGCUCACCUAGGCGACGAUCCCUAGCUGGUCUGAGAGGAUGACCAGCCACACUGGAACUGAGACACGGUCCAGACUCCUACGGGAGGCAGCAU
rnacentral:rRNA from 1 species